AAAAUUAAAACACACAAAAGAAAGGGUGUAAAAGAGAAAGAAAAACCUAAAUCUAGGGUUCCCUAAAAAAAAUGAACUAGACCUUGCUCCUAACGUUAAGGACCACCAAAAACUCGAUAAAUCCAAAAUUAUUCGGACCGGUUUGGCCAGUUUGGAGCAGGCAUUGCCAAGAGGCCAAUCUCCGCGCUUAGACACCAAACCUUAAUCGGCCAGGUAAGCUUUCGCUUGCCUUAGACACCGAAAAGUCGGAAUAAUUAAAGAUUACCUCGUCUUUUAGGUACCUUCCUAGUUGAGCGCGAAAUCCUAGGGGCUAACGUCUAAUUCAAUUUUAUUAAAAGGCUAGGGAAUGCAAAAUGAAGAAUUAAGUCGUUGUGGGCCAAGGAAAGAGUAAUGAAAUCCCUUCCCUUAUCUUAUGAGUGGUUUUGCCCUUAAGAUUUAUUUAAAAUGAUGCACCACACAACGAGAUAAUUAAAGCGAUAAACAACUAUGGAUGCUUAAACUACGUGUCCUAAUCUAGAGAAAGAAAGAAAUUAACGCACCUUAGGGUCCUCCAGCGAUCACCACAAUUAAAGGUACGAAAAUUUAAAAACAAAAAUUAAAAUCUAAAUGAUGUGCCCUAAGUGUAAAAA
rnacentral:lncRNA from 1 species